AUUUCGGCAAUGUGGAAUCAGCUAUCUGUCUCUAGAAUUGCUGUCAUUUGCCUGAUUGUGUUCAAGGAAGGAAAACCCAAAAUACUACUUAGCAGGAGAGGAGGCGAGAUCACGACCAUCCACAGUGUCAGUUGGGCUGGCAAAGUCUUUACUUAAUGUUAGGGCUCUUGGUUCUCACUUUAGAGAAGUGAAUUAGUGAAAACCAUCAAGAGUUGUGGAGCCUGUCACCCUGGUUUGAACUCUGGCUUCUCUACAGCUGUCACUGGCCCACUUCUCCGGGCUUUCAUUUUUCCAACUGAGAAAUGGAGACAGGUCUCACUUGGCAGCCAGCUGGUCAGGGACCAGCUGCUGAUAUAGAACUUGCAACAAUCCUCCUGCCUCAGUCUCCUUGAUGCUGGGAUUAGAAGUGCGAGCCACUAUGCUUAGGGUUAUUUUCUUCCUUAGAAGUUCCCUCUUCCCUUGGUAGGAUGGCUGCCAGAUGCUGCCUCUAUUGGCAGCCACAAGAAGCCAACGCAAGUGUGAAGUAAUACUUCUGCCCCGGGGCUGGCUCCACCCUGUUGACCAAGAUUUUUUUUUUUUUUUUUUUUUUU